UACGGGGGGGGCAAGCGUUGUUCGGAAUUACUGGGCGUAAAGGGCUCGUAGGUGGCCAACUAAGUCGGACGUGAAAUCCCUCGGCUUAACCGGGGAACUGCGUCUGAUACUGGAUGGCUUGAGUUCGGGAGAGGGAUGCGGAAUUCCAGGUGUAGCGGUGAAAUGCGUAGAGAUCAUGAGGAAGACCAGUGGCGAAGGCGGGUCUCUGGACAGUUCCUGACACUGAGGCACGAAGGCCAGGGGAGCAAACGGG
rnacentral:rRNA from 1 species